UGGGGAAUAUUGCACAAUGGGCGAAAGCCUGAUGCAGCAACGCCGCGUGAGUGAUGAAGGCCUUCGGGUUGUAAAGCUCUGUCUUCUGGGACGAUAAUGACGGUACCAGAGGAGGAAGCCACGGCUAACUACGUGCCAGCAGCCGCGGUAAUACGUAGGUGGCAAGCGUUGUCCGGAUUUACUGGGCGUAAAGGAUGCGUAGGCGGAUACUUAAGUCAGAUGUGAAAAUCCCGGGCUUAACUUGGGAACUGCAUUUGAAACUGGGUAUCUAGAGUGCGGGAGAGGAAAGUGGAAUUCCUAGUGUAGCGGUGAAAUGCGUAGAGAUUAGGAAGAACACCAGUAGCGAAGGCGACUUUCUGAACCGUAACUGACGCUGAGGCAUGAAAGCGUGGGGAGCAAACA
rnacentral:rRNA from 1 species